GACGUAGGGCGCGAGCGUUGUCCGGAUUUAUUGGGCGUAAAGAGCUCGUAGGCGGCUUGUCGCGUCGGCUGUGAAAACCCGUGGCUCAACUGUGGGCGGGCAGCUGAUACGGGCAGGCUGGAGUUCGGUAGGGGAGACUGGAAUUCCUGGUGUAGCGGUGAAAUGCGCAGAUAUCAGGAGGAACACCGGUGGUGUAGACGGCUUUCUGGACCGUAACUGACGCUGAGACACGAAAGCGUGGGUAGCAAACAGG
rnacentral:rRNA from 1 species